rnacentral:rRNA from 1 species
GAACCCUUAAGAGAGGAGCUUGCUCUUCUUGGAUGAGUUGCGAACGGGUGAGUAACGCGUAGGUAACCUGCCUUGUAGCGGGGGAUAACUAUUGGAAACGAUAGCUAAUACCGCAUAACAAUGGAUGACCCAUGUCAUUUAUUUGAAAGGGGCAAAUGCUCCACUACAAGAUGGACCUGCGUUGUAUUAGCUAGUAGGUGAGGUAACGGCUCACCUAGGCGACGAUACAUAGCCGACCUGAGAGGGUGAUCGGCCACACUGGGACUGAGACACGGCCCAGACUCCUACGGGAGGCAGCAGUAGGGAAUCUUCGGCAAUGGGGGCAACCCUGACCGAGCAACGCCGCGUGAGUGAAGAAGGUUUUCGGAUCGUAAAGCUCUGUUGUAAGUCAAGAACGAGUGUGAGAGUGGAAAGUUCACACUGUGACGGUAGCUUACCAGAAAGGGACGGCUAACUACGUGCCAGCAGCCGCGGUAAUACGUAGGUCCCGAGCGUUGUCCGGAUUUAUUGGGCGUAAAGCGAGCGCAGGCGGUUUGAUAAGUCUGAAGUUAAAGGCUGUGGCUCAACCAUAGUUCGCUUUGGAAACUGUCAAACUUGAGUGCAGAAGGGGAGAGUGGAAUUCCAUGUGUAGCGGUGAAAUGCGUAGAUAUAUGGAGGAACACCGGUGGCGAAAGCGGCUCUCUGGUCUGUAACUGACGCUGAGGCUCGAAAGCGUGGGGAGCGAACAGGAUUAGAUACCCUGGUAGUCCACGCCGUAAACGAUGAGUGCUAGGUGUUGGAUCCUUUCCGGGAUUCAGUGCCGCAGCUAACGCAUUAAGCACUCCGCC